CAGUAAAGAAAGAAAGGAGGAAGGAAAGGAGGGAGGGAGAGAAAUCAAUAUGAAUGUAUAUAAAUACAAGAAUACAAAUGUCAUUACAAAAAGUGCCAUUUUAAUGAAUACUAGAUAAAUUUGUAAUGAGGGUCAUUUGGAGUAAAAACAACACCCUAAUUUCAGUUUUAGCAAAAACUCAACAAAUGCCUAGUGUCUAAACACCUAAUAUGUUUAACGAUUUGAAAACACGGCUCUUAAAUUCCAUUUAGAAUUCAUUUAUGAAAAUUUUGAUGCACAAUUAAGAUAUGUAUUGUACUGGGUCAUGCACAACAGUGCAUGACCAGGAAAUAGUAUAGUUGCAGAAUUGCAGGAAUGUUGGAACAUAUGAGGCAGGCUCUGCUUGUGGGUUUAACUCAAGGUUAACAUCUAUCUAUUGUCUUUGGUUUGGACUUAAGGUCUUUUUAGUAAAGGAAUAAUAAGCCACACAUGCAUACACAAAUGAGUCAGAACAGUGGUUCUCAUCCAGGGGAGACUAUUUAAAACUACUAACAUCCAGGCUUCAUCCAAGAUGAAUUACAAGUCAGAAUUUUUGGAGAUAUGACCUGCAUUUAUUGCUAUUAGGUCAAAAAGCUAGAAUCGUCUCCCUUUAAUUUUGUCCUUAGUUAAAAAUAGGGAGCUAGUGGUAAAAUUAAUUUUGAAAAACCAUUUAAAAUUUGAAAAUUACAAUAGAUCAGGAAGGAAGCAAAAUGAGGUAACUGUUAUAUUUGUACCCUCUGCGAGCACAAUUACAAACCCCAGACUGAGCCAUUGUUUAGGCUUUUGGCUCCUUUAGAUUGUUUCUUUUUCAUCUAGAGAUUACUUCCUUUUCAAGACUAGUCAACUUUAAAGACUCUAUAGACAAUUUAGGUUUUCUAACAAGGGUUUUUUUUUUUCUUGAGACUACUCUUAUAUGUGAAAUAUCUUAGGAAAGUCAUUUACUCAGUCAAAAAAUACUGGUAAAAGAUUUUUUUCAUAAAAAAAAAACAUCAUAAAAAUCUGAUCCAAGAUAUCAAACUGUUUUUGACAGUUUUUUUCCUCAAUGACUGUUCGAAGAGUUUUAAUGUAUAACCAGAUAGAAAGGAAGUUGCCUUUGGAAAAUCUGUUUCAUUUUCAAGAAUGAUUUAUAUCUGGGGAUAGAAGAAAAAGAAAGGUUCCUUGUGCAACUUAUUUCAAACUUCUCUAAGUUGUUAUGGGUUUGGAAAUUAGAAUAUUUUACCAUUUAUCCUACAGCUUUGACUGUUUUGAGACAUAUAUCUUACUGCCAGUACUGAAGUAGGAUGAAUUAAUUAAUCAGGAAACACAAUUUUUUAGGUGAAUUUUCUAAGUUGUGAAUUUUUCAAACAACAUGCAAAUAGAUAUUCUAUUAGUUUACUCUUUGGUCUUAUUACAUCAUCAUUAAAUUUCAAUUACUCUCUGAAAACUUAUUCUAUAGCAAUUAAUCACCUUUCCUUUGUAUUUCAUUUACAUUGUUGCCCAACCAUUUUUCAUUAUUAGUUUGGACUUAACCCAGUUGGUUGAAAAGAAAAUAGAUAGAUGACUUCACAAAGUCCUUCCAGACUUAUAUUUUGAUAAACUUACGACUGAAAUUAAUCUUGGCCACACCUUGGUGAGUUAAUUCUAUUGAUCUGUAUGACAGAACCAUAAGUAAGCCAACCUUGUCAAUUUCAAAUUAUUGAGAAUAGCUAGAAAAGUGAAAAGUUUAUUGAAUAUUCUGGAUUCAGUAGUACAUGAUCAGAAAAUAUCUUUAUUUUUUUUGUCGCCCUAUAUCACACCUGAUUUUUAGACUUUCCCUUCCCUAAUGUUUGAUAGCCUUUUUUUGUUGUUGUUGUUAAAAACAGAUCCUGUAGCUUGUCAGUCAUUAGCAAUUGUUAAAAAGUCCACUCUAAACCAACAUUCUAAUGUUGCUUCCAAUUUAAAGUUUUUUUCCCUUUAGGGAAAAAUUCAGGUUCAGCCCUGAAAUUGUUUUAGGGAUUUAGUGGAUGGGAAAGGAUGGGGAGGUGUUAACUUUCAAUUCCCUUAUUUCAAACCCUUUCCCAAUCUUCUCUCCUCAUUAUGCUGCAUCUGGCUCUUCCAGUCAACUGAAAAUCUCUGGAACAACUUGACAAUGGAACAUGAAGGGGUCAAACAAGGACAGACCCAACGACAAACUAGGGAAGACUUCCAUUCAGCAUUUAUUCUCCCAGGUCCAGGGUCAAGACCCACCAUGGACACUGGAACUGUGGGAGUCUGCCACCGCAGGAUGGGUCCUCAGACACAACCCUGUAAUUCAUCCUGGUGCCCUUCCUUUCCUGGCAUCUCUCACAACAGUGGUCUCCUCUGGCCUGUCCUCCACCAACAUGCUAAUGUUCCUUCUCCAGGUCAGGAAAAACUAAUUGAGCAAUCACUGAGCAUUUAUAAUGAGCUGGAGUCUGAGUAGCAGUGGGAUUAGCACAGUGCUAAUGUGCUAAUGAAGCUUAAUGCGUUGGAGUAUGACCCAUCCCCAGACCACACUAAACAAGGGGGAAAAUUAGGCUCACAGCAAUGUCACAUGAUAUAGAUUCUGCCUAUACCUGCUUUUGUGGAACCUCCAGCUGCCUCCAAUUAUCCCCAUUUCACCUAUUUCUGGGAGUACCCAUACAUUCCCAUAAGCACUCAAAUUGAGUUCUCUGAGCCACAACACAGUUAAGUAAGUAUUUUCAUUUCUUCAGCCACACUGUGGAGUAUGCAGGUUUCCUGGCGUUGCAUGUUUGCAUAGGUUGCUCACGGACUUGUGGCCGUGAUGCUGCUGCCCCAGCCUCCUUGAGGCCAGCUGAAAUUCCAAAGCAGCACUGACUUGGGUGCUCAGUAUCUCUCGGACUUUUGAGCUAAGCAGCUCUCUUAUAUUUCUGCUGAAGUCUCCUCCCCUCAGGUCCGUGGAGAGAUGGAAGGAGGGGAGAGCCUACAAGGAAGAGGGGAAGUCAUAGAACAAGAUGAGCUGCGCUCAAUUUAUAUUACUCUUCCCACUCUUUACCCAGGACAUUUUUUUAUUAGAUGAAACUGUGAGCUUCACUUCUUUUUCUUUCUUUGCUUAAAGGAUCUCCUCUCCCACCGCCCACAGACAGCAUCUUUGUGGCUCUGAUUCAUUCAUUCUUCAGAAAUGUUCGGGCAUUAUGCCAAAUUAUUGUAAAGCUCAUUGUUUACAAAUAUUAAGGUUAUAAGAGACCCAGUAGUCAAACAAAUGUCUAUGUAAGUAAGUAGGCAUUAUCCAUCUAGCUUGACUAGCCAGAAGUCUGCAUGAAGACUUUUUUGUUUCUUCUAUUUUUCAGGGUAAUUAUGUGAAUUAAAAUGCUCCUAGCACCUCCUGGUCUCUGCCGUUAGCAUUUAGAGGCUCAAUAAUACAAACCUAGAUUGUCCUGAUAUUUACAGUUAGGUAGCCAUGAAGACAACAUUGCUAAGUGGAGGCAGCCUGCCUGGUUUUGAAUUCAGGUGCCCCAACUUUCCAGCUGAAUCUCCUUGGACGAGUUACCUCAGUCCUCCAAGCCUCAGUUUCCCUAUAUUACAACAUAGGAUAAAUAACACUGGUAAUACCUAUCCCACAGGUUGCAAGUCUUCACUGGGUUCAUCAAUAAGACCUAGAGCAUUUCUAGACAUGUAUUAAAAGCUUGAUAAACUUUUGUUCUUACUAAAGCAUAAUAAAAAUAUGCCCACUAAAUAUGUAAAUGUAAGCAUUUAUAUAUAAAUUCUUCCUCAGUAAUGAUGUGAAUAAAAGUGAGAGAAGAAAAAUUAAGAUAAAUAUUGGCUUACUAAAAGAAAAUUCUAAGCUGGAUUCCUGAGAAAUCUGAGAUGUUUUUUUCAAAGGUAAAGUUCUGGAAAAGACAGACAUGGGUGAUAUGCUUCUUACAACACACUACAGAAGGAGUGUCUGGGGACAAUAGGAAUGGGGGUCACAAAGUGUCCCUUUCAAUGAAUUGGAAUCAUUACUCUCUUUUAUUUAGGCCAGCAUAGUGCGAUACUGUAGCCACUAGACGCAUGUCUAUUGAGAACUUAAAACGUGACUAAUCUGAAUUGAGAUGCGGUAUUAGCAUAAAAUACACACCAGAUUUUGAAGACUUUGUA